GACGAACGCUGGCGGCGUGCUUAACACAUGCAAGUCGAACGGAAAGGCCCGGCUUUUGUUGCGUGCUCGUGUGGCGCGAGGGUGAGACACACGUGUGUAACCUGUCCUUGCCUUUCUGAUAUCUUCUGGAAACUGGGGCUAAUACCGCAUAGGAGCUCUUGCACCACAGGGUGGGUUCGAUAGUUUCGGCGGUUGGGGCAGGACUCGCGGCUUAUCAGCCUGGUGGUCGGGUAGUGGCUGACCAAGGCUUGGACGGGUAGGCGGCCUGAGAGGGGGACCGGCCACACUGGGACUGAGAUACGGCGCAGAAGCCUACGGGAGGCAGCAGUGGGGAAUAUUACACAGUGGCCGGGAGGCUGAGGCAGCAAUGCCGGGUUCGGGAUGAUGGCCUUCGAGUGAAAAACAGCUUUCGACGUGGAUGAAGGGGUAGUGACGGUAAUGGGUAAAGAAGCACCGGCUAACUACGUG
rnacentral:rRNA from 1 species